UCCGCAGGGGGCCUGCCACGCCCGCCGUGAAAGCCCGGGGCUCAACCCCGGGACUGCGGCGGGUACGGGCGGGCUGGAGUGUGUGAUGGGCAGACGGAAUUCCAGGUGUAGCGGUGGAAUGCGUGGAUAUCUGGAAGAACACCGAUGGCGAAGGCGGUCUGCUGGCACAUCACUGACCCUCAGGGACGAGAGUGUGGGUAGCGAACA
rnacentral:rRNA from 1 species